AAUCACAAUAAAAAGCAUACAAGGGAGCCGCAGAUCGAGUAUGCUCCGACUGUACAUUGACUGCUGCCCAUUGCGCACAGUAAUAAGAGAAAAAACUAGCAGCAGAGUAGUAUCAGGAGAGACGUGCGAACAGUAGUACGGCACGGUGCAGGCAGAUCGAUCGAUCGCCGGAGAGCAGAAUGAUGCCAGGCACCCCGGCCGUACGCCGAGGAAAAGCAGACGGGGAAACUGCCCUCCGAUCGAUCGGUUCCUGCAUCUCAGAGGGGAAAAGGUCGAAGCAUCCUCGACCGUCGGAUCGCAUCAAGAGACAAUAGCCGUUGGUUCGAUUAUCGAAUUUGGGCUCGAUCUGGCUCGGCGGACUGAUCGACCGGCCAUUCUGCAGCAGAAGCUGGACGACUCCGGCCGGCUAGCUCUGCCUACGAUCAUAGUGGAGUAAUGAAGAGAGAGAGAGAGAGGUAGGUAUUGUCUCUGCGCGUUGUGUUCGAGACGGCACAACAGUAGGCGUGCCAUGCAGGAGCAAGUCUAGCUGCACUGCAUUGCAUUGCAUCGCAUGGCUCGCGCAGGACCGGCCUCGAUCAGCAGCAGCUACAGUUCGAUCUCGCCCCUCGAGUAUGCAAAGUGGAAGGCAUGCGGGUGCUCUGCUCGCGCGGCACAGAGGUAAGUGCUGUACUCCAGUAGAGAGGGAGGAAGAGACUCAGACAGCGGUGUAAGCUAAGCUACGGUAUCGAUGCCUUUUAGCCCUGGAUUCGAUCGAGUGUCCGGCCGCCAUUAAAUGGGGGGCAGCCGGCAACGCUGGUCACUCCUCAAUCCUCAUGCCUUCUUCCCCGCCACCUGGUUGAUCUAUUCUCGCUGUCUUUGUGCCUCUCUUUCUUGGACUCUUGCUUGCUUGCUUGCCUGUCUCUCUCCUGCCAGCCCUCGCCAAAUUCAAUUCAACUCAUGGCGCGCCCACGCUCUCCAAUCAUGGCAUGUUUGUGUUUCACGAUUCUGCCAGAACGAGAUCACUUGCCCCCAAGCAUCUUUGUGCCCAAACUAUUCUGACAAUAUCGAGUUUGGGGUAACAAUUGCCGGAGGAAGAAGACGGUGCUCAAUGACAGGCGGCGAGGAGAAAGGCCGGCCGGACGGCGCCGUGGGCGGAGGCGGGUCUCGGUCUCGAGCGCGAUAUGGAGUAAUUCUGUAAUUGUUCAUCAACCAAACAUCCACAACCAAUCGUGCUCCGAUCUUGAUCUUACGAUCGGUAGACUGUACUACAGUACCCCUGCUGUCUGCCCUUGUUUCCUUCUGCUGAUUCAAUGCACAGCUUUAUUCGACGACGGCUAAGCUGUAGUACUGCUAUACAUCAAGUGCAACGCAUGCAGAGGAAUUUAAGCAGCGCCUGCACUGCGUGAUCUACGUACAAUACAUACGGAGUACUACUAGUAGCUAGUGGUUCUGCAAAUGCUCCGUAUGACUAUCUGUUGGUACAGAGUAAUUAAGGGAUCACUGCAAGAUCCAUCUCACUGAAUAUACUGGAGUUACGGAGUAUCAUAUCGGGGUUCAAAUCUAAGUGUUCAGAAGAUGAUGGUCCAUGGCGGAUCGAUCGACCGGUUACCCUUAAGGACUCACCGCCGCAUCAACGUAUGGUCCGCUGCAGCGUACAACGAAUGAACGAUUCAGGAUGCAUAUACAUGCUCCAGCAGCAGCAGAUCGAGCGUCUCCGAGGGAAGGGAAAGAAUAUGCAGAUCUAAAAAUACAAUUCAGCUCGAUCCGAUGAACUCGAAUCGAUCCCUCUCCAGCUCGAUCCGAUGACGUUAAACUUCCACAAAUAUGCCGUGUCGGUCGAGAUGCUGAUGCAUGCCCAAAAAAGAGCAGUAUAAAAAGCCCAGCAAUCAAAACCAUUGAUGUGGUAGUAAUAUUCAACCACCAUGUUUGUGCUUGUUAGGGCGAUUCGUGCUUGGAUUUCAGCAAGUUGCGUUAGCAGCUAGCUAGCUGCCCCUGCCACACAAACACAUGACGAAGAAUCCACCCAUCGAUCGCACGCCAGCGCCCACGGGGCGUAAAGGCCAAGGCGUGAAGGUACAUGGCCGGGCCGGGGAAGCAGAUGCAUGCGGUGGAGAUCCUUCUGAAUUCUGACCCAACCCUGCUCUCUGUCUGCUUGGCCGCGUUUACUGCCUCGAGUAGUACCUACAGCAACGUAAACAUGCCUUUUUCCGCUCUCGUCACGGAUCUGAACUGCUUGGAGUAGUAAAUUAAAGCUGCGCGAGGACAGCAGGCGGUACAAGCCGGGAACGUGUCCUCGAGAUUUGCAGAGCUCGAUCUCCUCCAAUUUUGACCAGAUAACUGGUCGUAGAACUCGCAGGAGUAGUAAAUUAAGAACCGUAUAUUGCACCAGUGACAAGCAGUCAGACGAUUCGAAGAGGACUACACGUGUACUCCACGAGUUUGAUCGUACUCAAAUACGUGCAUAAAGCAAGGAUUGACGGUGAA